AGCACCUGGUUGGUUCUGAAGUUCAAGAUUCAGGGCCCAUUAGCAUAGAGGGCAGUGAACAGGAAGUCAGCACCUGCCCCUCACACCGUUGCCUGAAGGGACGAUCCUGCCACAUGGACUGAGCCAUUGAGUGCCAAGUGCCAGGAAAGCGGUCCUGCUUAAGACAGAAGCUUUUAUUUUUACUCAUCCAAGUGGGGAAAACGCAACACGUCAGGUCAGUACAGACAGUCGGCAGCAGCCAGAUGGGGCCAGUCUAGGGCAGAGUCCACUGUGGUCAGUGCGAAGGCGCUGCCUGUGGAGGUUGGGUGGCAGAGUCCCUGUGCAGCAAGGCCGGGCAUCUCUGGGCGAGGCACUGGUGACAGUCCACACACGCAGGCUGCUGCUUCGACCACGCUGACAGUUCAGAGUCCGACACGCCGCUACCCCGAGGGGAAGGGCCAUCCAUGGUGCUCGCAGUUUCCAGCGUUUGUUUUUUUAACAUAGUACACAACAAAGUUAUUGCCGAGGACUUUGCACUGCAAAUUAUACUAUUUACACUUGCGUAUUCAGAAAAAAAAA